UGUAUCAUGCUCCUUUAAUUUGUGCUAUCUUUUUUGUCUUAAUUCCUAUUUCAAUUUGUAAUUCAUCUUAUCAUAUGAUGUGAAAUAUUGGUCUGUACCUAAUUUCUACAGGAUUACCUUACAGUUUUUCCAGCAGUUUUUGACAAAGAAUGAGUCUUCUCAUAAGUAUAUGGAUUUUUAAAAAUUUCUUUGACUCUAGACUACUAUGUCCAUAUGAUUCUCUGUGUUAUUUAUCUAAUACGUUCCACUGACAUGUCUGUUUUUUAAUGAUUUUUACCAAUUAUUUCCUAUUUUUUUCAUUAUUUCUUGUAAAAUUUUUAAUCUUUUUGUUUUUCCAGAUGAAUUUUAUUAUUUUUUUCUAGCUCUAUAAAAUAAUCUUUUGGUUGUUGGAUUGGUAUGACAUUGAAUAAAUUAGUAUUGUUGUUUGUAUUUAUUCAGCUUAUCCAUGAGCAAUUAACAUUUCACCAUUUGGCGCUGUCAUUAUUUCUGUAUUCCCUUUCUUCCUAUGUCUUGGUGGUUAGAUUCCUAGAUAUAUUCAGUAAUUAUGUUUACAUGAUAAUCUUUUUUAUUUUUUCAUGAUGAUUUUUUUUUUAUCAAAAUAUAUGGAAAUGCUGAUGGUUGUGGGUUCACUAUGUGUGGAAAAAGGGGAAGAAUUUACAGAUUAAGCACAUAUUGAUCAGAGACUAUUAGCUAAAGUAGAUCAAACCUAUAGACCUCAGUUUUGGCUUCUCCGAAGUCACGUGAUUUUAGAUAGGGCCUGGACCACAUUCCAUUGUCCAACAAAGGGAUUAUGUGGCCGAAGAGGCUGUAUAUCACCUUGUCUACUACCUUCCAUUGACCAACUAGGGGAACAGUAGACUUAUGUGACCAAUCACAACAUAUAGAUGGUCGGAUUUUGGAGGUUCUUUGUCUGAAAUGUAUAAAAGCUGUAAGCAUUUUCAAGGCUCUGGCCCUAUGCUGCUGUGAAAUUUGGCUCACGGACCACGAUGGGGGCCGCUUCUCAAGAUUGUAAUAAAUAAUUCUGCUAUCUAUGAGUGAUCUCUGUAGUAGUCAAAUUGGAUAGGUCUUUUUGUCCCAAACAAUUAAUGAUAGUAUUUGGAUAGCUUUAUUCUGUAUGAUCAUGCCUAUUUAAUACACAAAGAUAAUCUUUGUCUUAGUCAUCAAAAGAUUUCAUGCUAAAAUUGUGCCAAAUAAUGUUCAAAAAACCCUGUAAAAAACUAUUGUAAGGGACCCCUUCCAUCAUAGACCUGAAUAGAAAUUCAGAAAACCUCAGCAAUAGGAAAGCAGGCCCCUCAAGCAAAGCACUUUCAUAGUAGUGAGAGAGCAUAUGUAAUAUGCAACUCUGUGUAAGGAAGCAGCAAGAGUAGAAAGCUCCCCUGAGAAAGUCCCAGAGAGCGCACCUUAGAAGUCCUGGAGAGCACCAGCAAGCAGAAACCGGUAACCAAGACAGCACUACAACUCUGAGACCAGGACAGCCCAGCAGGAUCUUGCUAACUGAAACCUAAGGAUCUGGGGACAGAUGUGUCUAACCUAGGAGGAAUAGCUCAAUACAAGGACUCAGAAGACCCAGGAUUGGCAUCAAGUGGAUCUGACCAUUCCACCCCAAAACAUGAUAAGAGGUAGGGUCUGGACAUGGCAUAAAGCUCCAAUUCAGAAAUUAAUGAAUAAAUCAAAGAAAAUUGGCCAGAAUCAAAAGUCUUCACUCUAACUUUGAGACUCAAGAGAGAAAAAAUAGAUAUUUCACAGAGACUACAUAAAUACUUGAAUAUAAGAAGUUAAAGCAAGAGUUAAAAAAUGAAAUAAAGCCGUGUAUGAAGGAAUUGAAAGAAAAAAGAGAACUUAGAAGGGAAAGUGGUCACCUUUGCACUAAAAAUGGACUUCCUGAAAACUAGAAUAAAACAAACAGAAAGCUAUGACUCCAUGAUGCUUCAAGAAAUGUUGCAACAAAAUCAAAUAAUUAUAAAAAUAGAAAAUUAUAUCUGAUUAAAAAAUAAAACCAACUGCCUUGGAAAACAGAUAGCUAUUUUAACAACCAGUAGGCUCUCUGAACACCAUGAUUUUUUUUUUUUAAAGCCUAGAUUCUAUAUUUCAAGAAAACAUAAGUGCAUAGUUCUCUUAGAAUCAGGGGACAAAAUAAAGGAAAAAUCCCACUAAUCUUUUCUGAAAGGAACUACAAAGGGAAAAGUCCUAGGAAUAUCAUAGUCAACUAAUAUCUAGAGCUCUUAAAUCAAAGGAAAAAUUACUUCAAGCAACCAGGGAAAAUUAUGUCAAUUAACAAAGAACCACAGUCAGAAUCACACAAGACCUGGUACAUUUUAUAAUAAAUGAAAGAAAAAUCUUAGAAUAUUGCCUUCCAAAAUGCAAAACGUAUAGCUUUAUAGUAAAAAAUAACAAACCUAGCAAAGCUGAGCAUAAUCACACAGAGAAAAAAUAUGUGCCUUUAAUGCAAUGAGCACUUUUAUGAAUUUCUAAUUAAAAGAUUAGAACUACAUAAGAAUUUUGAAUUACAGAAAUGAGUCCAGAGAAAUCUAGAAAGGUAAAUUUAUUUGAGCAAUUGAAAAAAGCUGUAUGAUGAUGAUGUAAAAUUGUACUAACAUUCUAGGAAGAGAAGAAACAAAUAUCUCUUCACAACCCUUAAUGGGAUUGAAGAGUACUGAGAAAAUUUAAAUAAGAAAAACAGGGGCUUCAAGAAUGAGUUGCUUCUGUUCUGAGGAUUUUAAAAGGGAAAAGAAAAAGGGGAAGUAAAAGGAAUAUACUAGUGUUAGAAAAGAUAAAAAGGUUGCAAUUUGCUAUUUGUUAUAAUUUAAAUAUAUGUGAAAAAAAGAAUUAAAACAUGGAGAAAAGAGUAGAAAGAAUGGGCAUCAGAUUAACCUUGCUUUUAUUGGAAAUGGACAAAUUAAAGUUGAACAUACAGAUGUUUUAGUGUUAGAAUACAUCAGAUUUAACAAGAAAACCAAGAUAACAAACUUCCAGAUCUUGAAAAGGACAUUGAAAGGAGGGUAAAAAGAAAAGCAAAAAAUUAAAUCUAAUUAGAUACUUUAAAUCAUAUAUACUCGUGUACCACAACACUCUUGUGCUGCCUGAACCAGAUGAAAUGUAAUUGAAAAAAUAUUUAACAAAAUAAAUAAAAGUAUUAAAAAUAUAAUUAAUAUGUGGUUUUCUAAGCCAAUAUGUGGCCCAUAGGAAUCCUUAUAUACAGAUUAUUAACUCUUGUUUUUAUUUGAGUUUGACACCGCUGCCUUAGAUGGUCUCUUAUAAGACAAUUUGGGAAUAGCUGAACAAAUCAUGCUAUAUAAAUAUAAAUGAAUGAAUAUUAUUGAGCCAUACAAAAUUAUGAAAGAGAAGUUUUUAGAGAUGUCCAGGCAACAUAAGCUUACAGCAUCAGGAGAACAAUUAAUACAGGAGCAGUAACAUUUUUCAAAACAAAAUCUGAAACACUUAAUAACUCUUAUCAAAACAUUAGCUAAUAAUCAUGUUUCUAGAGGAUCAAUGAUGAUAUAUCAUGUUCCCCACAUUCUGAUAGGUGAUAGACACAAGGUGCAGACAUACAUUUUUGAACAUUGUUACUACACAGAAACGAAUUCAGAAAAAAAAAAUAUAUCAAAGACAGUUUUGAAAGUAGUAUAUAGAAUUUAUUGCUUUUGUUCAGUUAUGUUGUACUCUUUAUGAACUCACUUGAGAUUUUCUUGGCAAAAAUACUAGAGUGGUUUGCCAUUUCCUUUGCCAGGUUAUUUUAUAGAUGAGGAACUGAAGCAAAUGGGGUUAAGGGAUUUGUCCAAGAUCACACAAACUAGUACACAUCUGAGGCUGGAUUUAAACUUAUGUAGAUGUGUCUUCUUGAUUCCAGGGCAGGCACUCUAUCCACUGUACCACCUAGCUGCCAUUGAAUUUAUUAUCUAUUUUUAUAAAGAGCAUGUCAUAUGAGAGGAGAUCCGUAGUUCUACCUAGUAUCUUUUUGUGUACUGCUGUGGGUAUGGAAAUGUCCUUUUGGGGGUAUCUAAUUUCAGAGGUUUAUUUUUUUUUAAAUUAAGAUAAACAAAAGCUAUCUGGAUUAAAGAAAGUAUUUUGCAUUAGUAGAGUCUACUGUUUGUAAAGAUUUAUUUUGCUUCCCCUUGACAUUCCAUUGGGAAAUGAGAGAAACAAAAAGAUAUACCCUCAAAUGCCCCAUCUCCUGGAAAUUCUUUUGGAGGGAGAUACAAGAUAAUUGUUGGUAAGAGAUGAGGAUCAAACUACUACAUUUAUAGGCAUUGCCUUCCAUAUGCAGAAAGACUCGGACAAACAAGAAUAACCUAGCUCUACAUAAAGGCAGGCACUGAUUUGCCUUGUUUCACAUAUAUUUUAAAGCUUCUGGAUUCCCUCCCAAAGGGAGAAUGUUGUCACAACUUAGGCCAACUAAAAGUAUACACCUGAAUCUAAGUAUAGUUAACUAUCCUAGGGAAAAAAAAUUUUUUUAAAUUUCAAAAGGAUGACUUAUUAUUUUUUUUUCUCCAUCAAGGCCAGAGGUCCUGUAGCAAGAAGGGACCUCAGUUUUUUUUAGUUCAUUCUUUGAAUUCCAUAUAGGAGCAUACCAAAGCAUUUUAGUGAGGUAUUACUUUAUUCCCUUGGUAAAGAUACUUAGAUCUGGAAAUCUCUUUUCAGUCAGUUGUUGGUGACUAAAUUUUGAGCUGAAGAAACAAUUAGUCAUAAGUAGAAAUGGUUUUAGGGAUAACUUAAUCCAGUUCCUUUGAGGAGGAAUCUGAGGUUCAGAAGUGACUUUCAGUAUACGUUUAUUCCCUUCAAUGUCCCAAAGGUUUGUACUAUCCUGUCUGGAAUGUCUGCUCCAUAAGUAUCAAAUUUGAUUUAAUCUAUAAUAAUCUUCUUUACUCCUACUUCCCUCUUUAAGGAAUAAAACUGGGUUCUCUCUUGGUGACACAGCUCCCUCCCAAGCCCCACCUCCUUUCUAUCCAGAACUUUCACUGUUGCUCCUCCUCGAUGCCUGAGAUGGAGUAUGUAAUGAAAUCCUUCUACCUUCAGUAGCUUCUCCUCUUUUGAAGUUCACUCAAUCCAUAGCUAUCCCCAAACACAAUUCUGGUACAUGUGGUUUCCUGAUCUGCAGAUCAGUUCUCAGUGAGUUCAGGUCCUGGCUAACCGCCUAUUUCUCCUCCUCAAGGCUUGCCUUCAUACCAGGUGAUUCAACAUAUAUACAGAGCUUCCCUCAAACACCCUAAUCUGCUAGUUUCUCAGUUUAUUCAUUUUCCAUAAUCUCCUCCUCCACUCCAUCUCAGUUAAACACAGAGGUAGUACCAAACUACCUCUUGAUCUUGCUGUCACCCAUAAAUAUAUUAUUUUCAUGUACAUGAAAAUUCUAUGAAAUUCCCUUUUCUGAUCAAACAAUUGUCAUCCCAUCUUUUUUGCUUUACCCCAGAUUCCAUUCUCACUAAGAGAAUGUGCUCAUUAAGACCUCCAAUCCUGAAUCUUUUCAGUUCUUUCCCUGGUCAUCACCUCUGGACUAUCUAAACUUUCCUUUUUUUCUCAUCUUUAUGUUUUGGUGAACCAGUUCAGUUUUACUCUCUUCUUUUCUCAAAAUCCUUGCCCUUUUAUCCUCUCAGUGACCUUGCUCAACCAAGAUUUAGCAUUGGAUUACUUUCUUCUUCUUCCUUCACUGCUAUUUACAUAAUCUUGAACUAAGUUGGAGGAAAAAAACAAAACAAAACAUGUGCUGACAAUUACAAAUUUGUGUAAUAGUCUCAGUUGGGCCCUUACUGCAGCAAAACAAUUUUUCGUACUUCCCUACUUGCCUCACUAUGUCAUUUACCAUCUUUUCCUUUUCCAAGCCUUUUCAUGCUUUCUCAAAUCUCAAAUGAUUUUUCUCCUACUAUCUACUCUGUUGAGAACUUUGUCUCAUUUCUUUGAAAAAAAUUGAGACCUUUCUAUGAGAGCUCCCUCUUAUUCCCAUCUAGGUCUGUGAGCUGUGCCUAAUUGCUUGGUAUAAAAAGAGGCUCUUCAGAAUAUUUGCAGUGCUUCUUCCAGACCAGAAAAACCAUCCAUGUCCUUCCAAGAAACAUCUUUCUCCUUCUCUUCCAUGCAGGUUGAUUGACCUACCUGAAACCCAUCACUGGGCCAGUAGGAGAACUGACAACAGAGGCCCUGAUUUCCAUGCCUGUGCUUGGCCUGUUGAGUUAAAACAAGCUUCCCAG